rnacentral:rRNA from 1 species
AACGCUGGCGGCAGGCCUAACACAUGCAAGUCGAGCGGUAGAGAGGUGCUUGCAUCUCUUGAGAGCGGCGGACGGGUGAGUAAUGCCUAGGAAUCUGCCUAGUGGUGGGGGAUAACGUUCGGAAACGGACGCUAAUACCGCAUACGUCCUACGGGAGAAAGCGGGGGAUCUUCGGACCUCGCGCCAUUAGAUGAGCCUAGGUCGGAUUAGCUAGUUGGUGAGGUAAUGGCUCACCAAGGCGACGAUCCGUAACUGGUCUGAGAGGAUGAUCAGUCACACUGGAACUGAGACACGGUCCAGACUCCUACGGGAGGCAGCAGUGGGGAAUAUUGGACAAUGGGCGAAAGCUUGAUCCAGCCAUGCCGCGUGUGUGAAGAAGGUCUUCGGAUUGUAAAGCACUUUAAGUUGGGAGGAAGGGUAGUAACCUAAUACGUUGCUACUUUGACGUUACCGACAGAAUAAGCACCGGCUAACUUCGUG